rnacentral:rRNA from 1 species
UGAAAUCAGGUGAGAAUACCC